UCCGUAGGGUGCAAGCGUUAAUCGGAAUUACUGGGCGUAAAGCGUGCGCAGGCGGCUUUGCAAGACAGAUGUGAAAUCCCCGGGCUUAACCUGGGAACUGCAUUUGUGACUGCAUGGCUGGAGUGCGGCAGAGGGGGAUGGAAUUCCGCGUGUAGCAGUGAAAUGCGUAGAUAUGCGGAGGAACACCGAUGGCGAAGGCAAUCCCCUGGGCCUGCACUGACGCUCAUGCACGAAAGCGUGGGGAGCAAACAGG
rnacentral:rRNA from 1 species